UGCAGUCGAGCGGUAGAGAGGGAGCUUGCUUCUCUUGAGAGCGGCGGACGGGUGAGUAAUGCCUAGGAAUCUGCCUAGUGGUGGGGGAUAACGUUCGGAAACGGACGCUAAUACCGCAUACGUCCUACGGGAGAAAGCGGGGGAUCUUCGGACCUCGCGCCAUUAGAUGAGCCUAGGUCGGAUUAGCUAGUUGGUGAGGUAAUGGCUCACCAAGGCGACGAUCCGUAACUGGUCUGAGAGGAUGAUCAGUCACACUGGAACUGAGACACGGUCCAGACUCCUACGGGAGGCAGCAGUGGGGAAUAUUGGACAAUGGGCGAAAGCCUGAUCCAGCCAUGCCGCGUGUGUGAAGAAGGUCUUCGGAUUGUAAAGCACUUUAAGUUGGGAGGAAGGGUUGUAGAUUAAUACUCUGCAAUUUUGACGUUACCGACAGAAUAAGCACCGGCUAACUUCGUGCCAGCAGCCGCGGUAAUACGAAGGGUGCAAGCGUUAAUCGGAAUUACUGGGCGUAAAGCGCGCGUAGGUGGUUCGUUAAGUUGGAUGUGAAAGCCCCGGGCUCAACCUGGGAACUGCAUCCAAAACUGGCGAGCUAGAGUACGGUAGAGGGUAGUGGAAUUUCCUGUGUAGCGGUGAAAUGCGUAGAUAUAGGAAGGAACACCAGUGGCGAAGGCGACUACCUGGACUGAUACUGACACUGAGGUGCGAAAGCGUGGGGAGCAAACAGGAUUAGAUACCCUGGUAGUCCACGCCGUAAACGAUGUCAACUAGCCGU
rnacentral:rRNA from 1 species